GAGACAUGCAAUUAAUCUGCUUAUCUGAAUGUUUCUGCAGAAAUUUAGAAAAAGCUGGCAAUAGUGAUACCAUUUUUUUAUGAGCCUUAAGGACAACUGAGGUCACUAAGGUCCUGAAAGUGGCUACAAUA